rnacentral:rRNA from 1 species
AUUGAACGCUGGCGGCAGGCCUAACACAUGCGAGUCGAGCGGAUGAAGGGAGCUUGCUCCUGGAUUCAGCGGCGGACGGGUGAGUAAUGCCUAGGAAUCUGCCUGGUAGUGGGGGAUAACGUCCGGAAACGGGCGCUAAUACCGCAUACGUCCUGAGGGAGAAAGUGGGGGAUCUUCGGACCUCACGCUAUCAGAUGAGCCUAGGUCGGAUUAGCUAGUUGGUGGGGUAAAGGCCUACCAAGGCGACGAUCCGUAACUGGUCUGAGAGGAUGAUCAGUCACACGGGAACUGAGACACGGUCAAGACGCCUGCGGGAGGCAGCAGUGGGGAAUAUUGGACAAUGGGCGAGAGCCUGAUCCAGCCAUGCCGCGUGUGUGAAGAAGGUCUUCGGAUUGUAAAGCACUUUAAGUUGGGAGGAAGGGCAGUAAGUUAAUACCUUGCUGUUUUGACGUUACCAACAGAAUAAGCACCGGCUAACUUCGUG